AAAAAGGGCUUCUGUCGUGGGUGGCACACGCAGGGCAACUCGAUUGCUCUGCGUGCGGAAUCGACAUCAAGAGAUUUCGGAAACAUAAUUUUUUGGUAUUUGGGCAGCUGGUGAUCGUUAAAAAAAAAAAAAAAUGAGGAAUGUUGUUUCCAGAAUACAA